UGUCGGAGCCUUCCACAACAGAGGUUUCCCUUGGUACUAGUGGACAGGAGAAACAUAAGUCAGGAACUUCAUCUCUUCCAAUAUCAUUGGAUCCGUCCACAAUAACUCAACAAACUCAGGCCCAAACAAAUCUCGCCAGCAAGGAUAUUCUUCCUCAACAAACUCAGGCCACAACAAACAUCGCCAACAAGGAUAUUCUGUCUCAACAAACUCAUGCCCCAACAAACCUCUCUAGCCAAGCUACUCCAACAAGUACUAUCCAGAAAAUUAUGCUGCAACAAUCUUAUCAUGCUUCAACAAACCCUGCCAAUCAAGACCACAUGAUUUAAGGUAUUUUAAAGUUUAAAAAUCUGCAAGCUGUAGAUGAAGUGGAUAAAUAUAGAAAUAAAGCCAUAAAAGGUAAGGAUAUUGUGCGGGAGGAAAAUACAAAACCGAAGGAUAAG
rnacentral:lncRNA from 1 species